rnacentral:rRNA from 1 species
CCUACGGGAGGCAGCAGUGGGGAAUAUUGCACAAUGGGCGAAAGCCUGAUGCAGCGACGCCGCGUGAGGGAUGACGGCCUUCGGGUUGUAAACCUCUUUCAGCAGGGAAGAAGCGAAAGUGACGGUACCUGCAGAAGAAGCGCCGGCUAACUACGUGCCAGCAGCCGCGGUAAUACGUAGGGCGCAAGCGUUGUCCGGAAUUAUUGGGCGUAAGGAGCUUGUAGGUGGCUUGUCGCGUCUGCCGUGAAAACCCGAGGCUCAACCUCGGGCGUGCGGUGGGUACGGGCAGGCUAGAGUGUGGUAGGGGAGACUGGAACUCCUGGUGUAGCGGUGAAAUGCGCAGAUAUCAGGAAGAACACCGAUGGCGAAGGCAGGUCUCUGGGCCAUUACUGACACUGAGAAGCGAAAGCAUGGGGAGCGAACAGGAUUAGAUACCCUGGUAGUCCAUGCCGUAAACGUUGGGCACUAGGUGUGGGGGACAUUCCACGUUCUCCGCGCCGUAGCUAACGCAUUAAGUGCCCCGCCUGGGGAGUACGGCCGCAAGGCUAAAACUCAAAUGAAUUGACGG